rnacentral:rRNA from 1 species
UGGGGGAUAUUGCACAAUGGGCGAAAGCCUGAUGCAGCGACGCCGCGUGGGGGAUGAAGGCCUUCGGGUUGUAAACUUCUUUUGCUCUGAACAAGGCAUGCUAAUGGGUGUGUUGAGUGUAGGGGUUGAUUAGCGCCGGCUAACUACGUGCCAGCAGCCGCGGUAACACGUAGGGCGCGAGCGUUGUCCGGUAUUAUUGGGCGUAAAGGGCUUGUAGGUGGCUGGUUGAGUCUGUCGUGAAAGCUCAUGGCUUAACUGUGGGGUUGCGGUGGGUACGGGCUGGCUUGGGUGCAGUAGGGGAGGCUGGAAUUCCUGGUGUAGCGGUGGAAUGCGCAGAUAUCAGGAGGAAUACCGGUGGCGAAGGCGGGUCUCUGGGCUGUUACUGACACUGAGGAGCGAAAGCAUGGGGAGCGAACAGG